AGGGGAGGUUCAGGUUGGACAACAGGAAGAACUUCUUCACAUAAAGGGUGAUUGGACACUGGAAUGGACUACCCAGGGAGGUGGUGAAGUCACCACCCCUGGUGGAAAGGCUGAACGUGGCACUUAGUGCCAUGGUCUGGUUGACAGGGUGAUGUUAGGUCAUAGGUUGGACUCAAGGACCUCAGAGGUGUUUUCCAACCUAAUUGCUUCUGUGAAUUUCAUACUUUGAAGGCACACAACUUGCCCCUUGAUGUCCCAGGGUUGCCUGAGGUUGCCUCAGGAUUUGAUCCUGAAGGACUGCCACAGGUGGGAAAUCCCAAAGUGGUUUAAAGGUGCAUGUUUGGGCCAUGAAGCAGACCAACAGUAGCUAUAGCCGCCUGGCUGAUUUUCUUCUUCCAUUUCUGAUUCUGGUCAUGGCAGGUCCUGUUCUGUGGGUCUCAGGGAAGGCUUUUAGAUACUAAAACCUGAAAGAUGCUACUCAUCACAAAUGUUCUGUUUUCUAUUGUCUUCCCAGCACAGCAAUCACAGAUGGAGCUGAAAUGGUGCUAGGUUACAACAGAAGAAGAAGCAGCCGCCAAGAUCAAAAUGCUCUGUUUUGUCUUGGCAGAAAAUGUAAAUUGUGCUGUGCUUCAAUAUGCUGUAGACCUGUCUGGAGCUCAUCUGGUAGCCUAAUAAUGGCUGAAAAUUGGGAUUGUUGAGUUGUUUGACCUGAGGCAUGUAAUCAUCCUGCCUGCAGUCUAACACCCAGUACCCUGAUGGUUGCACAGUUCUUUCCCUAUCAUGUGACCCAAACUGAUCCAUCAUGUGACCAAAAUGCAGGCAUCUUCCUUUACACAAAGGUAUGUCACUCAUGAUGGGAAGACCCAUAAUCUUGCAGGUAAGAGACUGCAAGAUUUUCUCAGUUCUCUGCAGAUGGAUGUGUGCCAUGACCAUAGAUUUUUUUUUUUUUUAGCCUAUAUAACUACAUGCAUUUUGGUUGUCUUAAGAUGUGUGUUCAGCUCUGUGGGUGCAGAAGGGCAUAUGGUGUGGUGACAUGUGGAAGUGAUUCCCUAAAAUCAAUUCUGUGAUGUGGUAAGCUGAAUACACAGGAGGUCACUGAGCUGAACAUUGUUGGUGCCAGAGAAGAUUUAUCAUGAGGAAAUUGGGACAGGAGGUCAGGAGCAAAAAGGCUUCUGACAUGUAGAGGACUGAAGAUCUCAACAGCUUCCCAAACAGGAAAGCGGGAGCACACAGCCUAUGUUGUUUCAUGAUGAAGCUUCAUAAAUUCAGAGUCACAGUUGGUAUGAGAAGCCAGGUUUGACCCAGGACUUGACAAUUAAAGCUGGAGGAAGGAGGGAGGUGGUACCCCCAAAGAAGGAUGAAAAGCCCUUACUGUUAGAUGUGAAGAAGCUGUCAUUGAAACCAUGUUUCUUUGCUGUGGCAGGAUAUGGCAACAGCGGUAGGGGAAAGCAGGGGAAGGCUCAUCAUGGAGGUGGCUCCUGUGAGGUGUAAGCAAAACAAGGACUGUUAAUCAAGUGGCAAGUCAGCUGCUGCUCAGAAAAAGGGGUGCAACGCUGUAUGAGAUCCUUAAAAAAUAAGAACCAAGAAGAAGUUGUGAUCUGCUGCAGAGAGCUGAGGGUGCGUCUUGGUCUUCAGAUUAAUUUAGGUUACAAGGAGGAGCAAGAGGAAUGAUCAAAGUUGUGAAACCUUUCCAUCUGAGGAGAUAGUAAAUGAAAAGUAAACAGAUCAAGAUGUUUCUAUUUGGAGAAAGGGUAUGUGAGAGGAUACUAUGGAAGAAAUCUAUAAAAUGGUGAGUGGUGUUAGGGCAGAUAGGGAACAGUCACGUACAGCU